CCGGGCUUUGCGCCUGCAGGACGGUGACGUCGGGCACCCGCGCCCCCGGGAGACCCGCGUCCCGGAGGCCACAGCGGGGGCCCUGUGCACGUGCUGCCCUCGGGGGUCCAGGGAGCCACCAGGGGCUGGCGCAGGCUGGCAGUACCCGGCAGCCGCAGAAACCACACACACAGGUGGACAAAGGAACGUGUCACUUCAAGGAACGGCUGAUGCUUUCCGGAAAAUAAAAAAUAUUGGGAGCAACGAGGUGUGGAAGCCAGAGCUCCUCGCGGCCACAGACCCCACAGACCUAAUGCAGGAGAGCCGCCCCCAGAAGAUGCCAAGCGCCCUCCUCCGUCUCAGCCGCUCGGCCUGACCCCCACGUCCCCGUGGCCAGGGGCCAGGUUCCUGCCUGGUGGCCCCGGGGGAGGACGCCCAGCUGUCUUGGCCUGUCCUUGGUCUCUGACCGUGGAGGGGAUCCUCACUGCCUGGGGACUGAGGCAGGGAUGGGACCCAAGUUCUCAGCGAGGGUGUGCAAGAGCUGGACGUUGUGACCUUGGCCGAGACCUGACCCUGCCGCGGCCCCGCCGCCCCAGCCUGGGCUCUGCAAACCAAAGGGUUAUUGUCAGCCGGGCGUGGGUUCGAAACUGAGGAUGGUUGCCAGCAGCCUCUGCCCCCAGCCUGGCACGUCACACCCCCCCUCCCCCCAGAGGCCAUGUGCUGGGCGACCUAGAGCAAGGCACUGGCCCUCUCUGGGGAGCCCUCUUUCCAUGCCCCCCUCUCCACCCUGGACUGGCCUCAGCCUCACCCCCUGCAGCCUACUUCCCACCUUGCUCCUCCCCAGCUCAGACAUUCACCAUGACUCCCCAGGGCCCCAGGCUUCACUCCUCCAGACCCCCCAGAAAGCAGUCCCUCAUGGGGACCAAUCAGCGUCCUGAUGGAGGAUGCCAUACCCAGGGCAGAGGGGGGAGGUCGAGGCCGACUUCUCAGGGAAGGAGCUCGGACAUUCACCGUGACAUUUAAAUGUCACAUUGGACCGAGCAAUGGUGGGGCAGGGGGUGUGGGAACAGAAGCAGUAGGAUGUUUGGGCCGCAGGUAAGAGAGAGCCCACCUGGAAGGUUUGGAUGGGCAGGUGGCCCCGGACGACGCAGGUGGAAUCAGAGGAGCGCCGCGCAGAGAGCGUUUCCCUCCGCGACCCGGGAGAUGUCCGUGACCCGCCGUCGCCGGGUGUGAAGGUAGAGGAAGGGGCCUCGAGCCAGAGAAUAAGCUGGAAAAGCAAGGAAUAGACCCCCCUCCCCGACCCCCGAGACACCAAAAGGAAGGCAACUGCACCGAUACAUUUAGUUCAGAGACCCAUGUUGGACUUCUGAUCUCUAGGACUAGAGAAGAACAAUCUGUUGUUUUUUUGUAUUAAAGAUUUUAUUGA